GACGAACGCUGGCGGCGUGCUUAACACAUGCAAGUCGAACGGAAAGGCCCUGCUUUUGUGGGGUGCUCGAGUGGCGAACGGGUGAGUAACACGUGAGUAACCUGCCCUUGACUUUGGGAUAACUUCAGGAAACUGGGGCUAAUACCGGAUAGGAGCUCCUGCUGCAUGGUGGGGGUUGGAAAGUUUCGGCGGUUGGGGAUGGACUCGCGGCUUAUCAGCUUGUUGGUGGGGUAGUGGCUUACCAAGGCUUUGACGGGUAGCCGGCCUGAGAGGGUGACCGACCACAUUGGGCCUGAGAUACGGACCAGAAUCCUACGGGAGGCAGCAGUGGGGAAUAUUGCACAAUGGGCGGAAGCCUGAUGCAGCAACGCCGCGUGCGGGAUGACGGCCUUCGGGUUGUAAACCGCUUUCGCCUGUGACGAAGCGUGAGUGACGGUAAUGGGUAAAGAAGCACCGGCUAACUACGUG
rnacentral:rRNA from 1 species